rnacentral:rRNA from 1 species
GAUGAACGCUGGCGGCGUGCCUAAUACAUGCAAGUCGAGCGAAUGGAUUGAGAGCUUGCUCUUAUGAAGUUAGCGGCGGACGGGUGAGUAACACGUGGGUAACCUGCCCAUAAGACUGGGAUAACUCCGGGAAACCGGGGCUAAUACCGGAUAACAUUUUGAACCGCAUGGUUCGAAAUUGAAAGGCGGCUUCGGCUGUCACUUAUGGAUGGACCCGCGUCGCAUUAGCUAGUUGGUGAGGUAACGGCUCACCAAGGCAACGAUGCGUAGCCGACCUGCGUGGGUGAUCGGCCACACUGGGACUGAGACACGGCCCAGACUCCUACGGGAGGCAGCAGUAGGGAAUCUUCCGCAAGGGACGAAAGUCUGACGGAGCAACGCCGCGUGAGUGAUGAAGGCUUUCGGGUCGUAAAACUCUGUUGUUAGGGAAGAACAAGUGCUAGUUGAAUAAGCUGGCACCUUGACGGUACCUAACCAGAAAGCCACGGCUAACUACGUGCCAGCCGCCGCGGUAA